rnacentral:hammerhead_ribozyme from 1 species
AUCCAGUUGACGAGUCCCCAACAGGACGAAACAAGCGUCCUGUAU